rnacentral:rRNA from 1 species
AGAGUUUGAUCAUGGCUCAGGACGAACGCUAGCUACAGGCUUAACACAUGCAAGUCGAGGGGCAGCAUGUUGGUUGCUUGCAACCAACGAUGGCGACCGGCGCACGGGUGAGUAACGCGUAUCCAACCUACCCUUGUCCAUCGGAUAACCCGUCGAAAGGCGGCCUAACACGAUAUGCGGUUCACAGCAGGCAUCUAACGUGAACGAAAUGUGAAGGAGAAGGAUGGGGAUGCGUCUGAUUAGCUUGUUGGCGGGGUAACGGCCACCAAGGCUACGAUCGGUAGGGGUUCUGAGAGGAAGGUCCCCCANAUUGGAACUGAGACACGGUCCAAACUCCGUACGGGAGCA